rnacentral:rRNA from 1 species
UACGGGGGGGGCAAGCGUUGUUCGGAUUUACUGGGCGGAAAGGGCGCGUAGGCGGAUUUUUAAGUCAGGGGUGAAAUCCCAAGGCUCAACCUUGGAACUGCCUUUGAUACUGGGAAUCUUGAGUCCGGGAGAGGUGAGUGGAACUGCGAGUGUAGAGGUGAAAUUCGUAGAUAUUCGCAAGAACACCAGUGGCGAAGGCGGCUCACUGGCCCGGAACUGACGCUCAUGCACGACAGCGUGGGGAUCAAACAGG